GCGGCCGGUGGCCGCGGCUGCUCGGCGCGGCGGCAGCGACUUCGCCCGCUCCGCUGCGGCCCCGGCCGAGGCGGUGCGCGAGCGCGGUUUGGUACGUGAAAAUAACGAGAUUGGCGGCUUCGGGGCUGGCUCCGGGCUGCGAAGAGACUCUGGGAAGAGCGGUGAGGCCGGGGCUGCCGCGGAGGCGGCCGUGGGACACCGGGGCUGAGCAGAGGAUGGUGGCAGCAGCCCGGGGCCUCCUGACGCGGACGGGAAGCGCCGCCCUGCAGCGGAGCCGCUGGGCUGCCCGGGGCCUCCGCUCGCCUCGCAGCGGGCGCUCGGCGCUGCUGGACGCACCAGACCCCGCGGAGGGUCCCGGGCUGUCCGUGGGAAAGAGGCUUCCCCCAGGGUGCAGCCCGCGCUGGGGCAGGUUUCGGGCUCGGUUGCAACUUCCGCUAACACCAGCCAUUUCCAAAACAGCCCUGAAAAUCAGAGCAAAGAGGGAUUUGUUGGAUCUGCGCUGCCGACAGGUGAUUACACCUUCUUCUCUGUUGUCUCUCUUUGGCAUUUCUCUGGCUGCGUAUUUUUAAAGCUCCCUCCCCUCUGUGCAGCGAGGUCGUGCUGCGGGGCAUCUCGCACGCUGAUGGGGAGGACAAAACAGCCAAACGCGGCCGGCCCAGCGCCGGUGAGAGCGUGGCCGCGGGCAGGAACGGCGGCCGGCGCUGACGGAGCUCCGCUCCGGGGCAUCUCCGCCCUGCAGCUCUCCCGGAGCCGCCAGCAGCAGCAGCAGCGAGGACGUGCGAGCCGGUGCCCCUGCGAGGAUGGAGCCAGUGCCCCUGCGAGGACGGACCCAGCGCCUCCAGCGCACAGGUACUUUAAAAAUGGAAGGGAAAAAAAAGAUUAAAUGCAUAUAUGGAACUGAACCUACAGUCGAAUUCAGGACAAGAGGGCCCCUUCACCCGCGAACGGCACAAGGUGGAGUAAGGGACGCUGCCCCCACAGCAGGGAGGAAGCCCACCAGCGCUGCCGCCACCGCUGGGCCCACCCCCGGACGGCGACCCGCACGAGCCCUUCCAGGCCGACACGGCGCGGAGACCCCGCGGGCGGACGCGGGCAGCCCGGGUGAGGCAGCCGGCCCUGCCGACGCACCGCUCCCGGCCCGGGAGCCUGCAGCCGUCGCCCUCCUGGGCCGGGAGGCGCAGCCUUGCACGCCACGACUUGCCGCGAGCCUCUGCCAGCCCCGGCGCCAGCUGCAAGAAGCGGGCAGCCGCCAGGCCGGCCAGCGAGUCGCAGGCAGCGUGGUGGGGCAGGCCCUGCAGCACCUGCCCUUGCCCAGUUGCGGGCCUACAGGUGUGGCCCGGAGCACCCUGGAAAACAGGCCCUCUCACUGCAGGGGUGGCUGGUGAUGUCUUCGCUUUCUUAAAGCUGAGCAGGCAGAAAGGUCAGUAACAGGCAGCGAGGAAAACAAACCGACUAACCUAAUACUAAAGCAGUGACUUCAAGCUCCUGCAUUAGUAUUUACUGUUGAACCUACAGAAAGAGUUGAGAACACAGUGUGCACAUCAGCUGUUUGAGAAACGGUCUGGAAAUCAUGCGUCACAUGCCAGUGAUGAAAGAAAGCCUUGACACGCUGGGAGAGGACAACAAGCGUCUACAAGCCGAAACAUGUACAACUGCAAAUAUGCAAGUAAGAGCCGGACUCCCACCGCCAUCCGCGUUGGCCGGAGGAAUCGUCCCACGUACUUACUUACAAGGAGAAACUCGUGCCAAGCAGGGGGUAAAGGCGGUGCUAGAAGCCACAGCAACUCCCUGGCUAACACAGGAAGCAUAUGUAUUCUAGAAACAGAAGGUUAAGGGCAGCAACCCAACCGGCAGGAGGAGGAUUUGGAUCAUUUUGUCUCCUGCGGGGCCUGGCACAUCCCUUCCUCCUUCACAGUGAAUGUAACAAAGGGCAAAAACCAUUCACAGGACAUUGUUCAAAUGGAAACCAAACGAAACGCAUCGUGGGAAAGGAAAAACAUGCAGCAUCCCAAAUGUAAUGGGAGCAGCAUUACAGCACAGGCGUGCAAUCCAUAGCUGAAUGUACCGCCUAGGCGGAAUCCACUGGCUUUUUGAACCGUCUGCAAAACUCAAAACAAGGGUCUCCUCCUGAUUAGUGUUAAUUUGUUACAAGUUUCUGGACACUUUCAAAAUGUGCCUUUGCAAGAAUCACACCCCACCCAACCCAUCACCCCAAGGGCCCCAACAAAGGAAUCCACUCCUGAUCACAGCUAGAGUCACUGUUUGUCUUCAGAGAUGCUUUGCUUUUUCAUUCUUACUCCUCCUCCUCCUCCUCCUCCUCUUCCUCCUCCUCCUCCUCAUCAUCAUCUUCAUCAUGGCAAUGUGUGAUUUCCUGAGGCGCCUGAGGGAAGAGGUUGGGUGGUUUGAUCUCGCUGAUGGAGCGGGUCAGUUGAUGCCUUUUGUAGUCAGAAUCUUUAAAAUCCACGGAGGUGCGAUUGCGCGUGGCCAUUGGCGACUCCUUCUCGUUGAUGUCAACGUGCGUAUGCUCUACUGUGGAUUCAUGUGGCAUCUGCAAGAGAGAAAGAGGAGAUGGAAGGGGGGCUCUGUCCCAGAGUAUCUCCCUGGUAUCUCUCGCCAGAGCAUGACUCUGACCUGCAGCGCAUCAAGCAUGUUGAGCUGCUGCCUUGCCCCCCAAGGUGCCAUCCCCGCUGCCGUCGCUCCUGGAAGCACGAACGCACGCAAGCGGAGGCACCUUUGGGCUCCCUGCCUGUCCGCUCAGGUCUGUGACUCACCAGGACGUGGGCCGCUCUGAAGAGGUAGCUGAAGGGGUAGUAGAGGAGGUUGAUGAAGGAGGCUGCAUAGAGAUCGGCAUAGCGCAUCACCUGGCUGGCAAACAGGGUCUGCCGCGAGCCGCUGCGGAAGAGGCUCCCCAUCAUCCCGUAGCACAUGUCCAUGUCAUGGGUCACUUUCUGCAAGAAAGGGCAGGUUGGAUGCCUGGGCCAGAAUCCAGCACUGCGGAGCAGACCUGGCCACAGCAGCACUGCGAGCACAGUGCCUUGAGGGCUUGGCUGCACGAGACCUGCAAGAUCUCCAGCAAGGCUUUCCUGCGCUCCUAUCCCAAAGCGUCAGAGCGCAGGCGAGUCCCUGCAAACAGAGAGAAGGCGGCAGCAGGGCUGGGGCCAGCACCUGCCCUAGGCUGGGACCUCAGUACGCAGGGCUGGCUGAACCAGAGGCUACAGCCCCGCCAAGCUCGUGUGGGUCGGCGCCCAGUGGGCACCUUCCGUCAGCACCGCUAUUUACAUAAUGAAGGAGACCAUCUAUCCAGACCAGGCUGCCUUUCAGGAGUGCCCAGUGGCACCAACGAGCUGGGAAGCUCCUCCAUUAGCGUCCAUAGACAGAUGGGCCUCACCAAGCCUGCUGUGCCCACCCAAAGGCAGAGCAAAGCAUUUCAGAGCUAAGCAGUGGCUCAGGCUGUCAAGCUCUUUAGGAUCCAAUAGGAUGAAAAGGGAUUUUAUGAUUGGUACCUUAAUGCGUCUCUGGAUGGAGCUGAUGUCGGGGCGUUCAUUGCUGCUACUGUCCAGAUGCCUAGUUACAGGCGAGAAGGUAAAUAAAAUUGCGUGAAAAGCC